rnacentral:rRNA from 1 species
GCCCUUCGCUGCAGAGUUUGAUCCUGGCUCAGAAUCAACGCUGGCGGCAUGCCUAACACAUGCAAGUCGAACGAGAAAGUCCUUCGGGACGAGUACAGUGGCGUACGGGUGAGUAACGCGUGGGUCAUCUACCUCUGGGUGGGGAAUAACUCGGGGAAACUCGAGCUAAUACCGCAUAAUACGUUUACGUCAAAGCAGCAAUGCGCCUAGAGAUGAGCCUGCGUCCGAUUAGCUAGUUGGCGGGGUAAUGGCCCACCAAGGCGACGAUCGGUAGCCGGCCUGAGAGGGCGGUCGGCCACACUGGCACUGAAAUACGGGCCAGACUCCUACGGGAGGCAGCAGUGAGGAAUUUUGGGCAAUGGGCGAAAGCCUGACCCAGCAAUGCCGCGUGAACGAUGAAGUCCUUCGGGAUGUAAAGUUCGUAAGCAGGAGAAGAACACCCUGACGGUAUCCUGUGUAAGCCCCGGCUAACUACGUGCCAGCAGCCGCGGUAAUACGUAGGGGGCAAGCGUUGUUCGGAUUUACUGGGCGUAAAGGGCGCGUAGGCGGCGCGUAAAGUCGGACAUGAAAUCAUUGGGCUUAACCCAAUGGCUGUGCCCGAUACUUGCGUGCUUAGAGUGCGGGAGAGGCAAUCGGAAUUCUCGGUGUAGCGGUGAAAUGCGUAGAUAUCGAGAGGAACUCCAGUGACGAANGUGGGUUGCUGGACCGACACUGACGCUGAGGCGCGAAAGCUAGGGGAGCAAACGGGAUUAGAUACCCCGGUAGUCCUAGCCCUAAACGAUGAAUACUUGGUGUGCGAGUUGUCAAGUACUCGCGUGUCGUAGCUAACGCGAUAAGUAUUCCGCCUGGGGAGUAUGGUCGCAAGAUUGAAACUCAAAGGAAUUGANGGGGACCCGCACAAGCGGUGGAGCAUGUGGUUUAAUUCGACGCACGCGAGAACCUUACCUGAGUCAGAUACGAUGA